rnacentral:lncRNA from 1 species
GCUCCAGGGCUUCCCCGGCUCCCGAGCUCCGAGCUUCCACCACAUCGGCCGGCUCAGGACAGAACCCAGAGUUGAUCUCUGCAGCAUGCCAUCACUGCUGGGGAUGAGGAAACGGUGAUUUCAGGACUGUUUUUUCUGUCUCUUCAGUGCCUCUUUCAGUGAUCUGAGGUUAAAACCAGAGGGACAAUCAGUGGAGCCUUCUUUCUGCCGUCUUGCUUUACUCUCACGCCCAAGAAUCAGAAUUCAGAACUUUUAAUAAGAAAAGCUUUCAGAACUCAGGAAGGACAAGGAAGACAUUCUGGUUCUCCAUGCUUAACAUUGGACUGUUUCUUCAACUGAGACUAUGGAGGAUUCAUCAACAGACCAGGAAGCAACAGCCUGGGCUCCAGAAUUGACCAGUAGUCCGUGCACAGACGAGGAGAGGUCCCAUGAAACUUCGGCGCAGUCUGGGAACCGAGCUCUUUUUGUAACAAGUUGUUUGUCAGGAGGCCCGGUCAUGAAAGCCCUUCCUGACUGGGCUCAAGGAAUACAAAAAGGACAACUUGUUUUUGCCAUUGUCUGUUGUUUUUCAAUAACUAGUUCUCCGAAACAGCACUGGAUGAAUGCCUCAAGGGGCUCACACAACUCGUUCCAGGACUUAGUGACCAUUGUUUCUGUCCCUGUUCAAUAGAGUUCAAAUUUAAUAUUUAAAUUUUGCUCCACAAUGUGCCAUAUUAUCUGUAUCCAACCUGUCAUUGGGCAUUUAGGUUGAUUCCAUGUCUUUACUAUUGUGAAUAAUGCUGCAAUAAACAUUUACGUGCUUGUGUCUUUAUGAUAGAACAA